AGGCGUCUGGUUCGAUCUCAACUGGCUGGUUGGAGAGCUACAGGGGUAAAGAUGGGAGAGCUGGGUUGGUUCUUCGAUGUCUACAUCUGGAGGCUUCGACUGUUUUACACAGCCAUCUGCUUAGACCAUCAGUUUGCGUUUUCAUUGCUCUGAUCUUCCAAGGUGCUCAUUUUCUGACUCCCUUGGGUUCUAUCAGAUUAGCUCAGGUGUGGAGACUGGGUGGGAAAAGGGAGAGUAACUCACCAACUCCAUGAGGACAAUUUCAAUUUGGUUGCAUUACAUCUGGGUCUACAACUAAAUGCUUCGUCUUGUAGGUACCCAUAAUAAUCCAAUCUAUUCUUAAUUCAUAUGUUCAGAUGAUGAGAUCUUCUGUUGUUUUAGGAAAAUGGCUCAUUAUCAUU